UACGAAGGGGGCUAGCGUUGCUCGGAAUCACUGGGCGUAAAGGGUGCGUAGGCGGGUCUUUAAGCCAGGGGUGAAAUCCUGGAGCUCAACUCCAGAACUGCCUUUGAUACUGAAGAUCUUGAGUUCGGGAGAGGUGAGUGGAACUGCGAGUGUAGAGGUGAAAUUCGUAGAUAUUCGCAAGAACACCAGUGGCGAAGGCGGCUCACUGGCCCGAUACUGACGCUGAGGCACGAAAGCGUGGGGAGCAAACAGGG
rnacentral:rRNA from 1 species